GCCACUCCGGUAUGCUCUUUUCCCUUAUAUUUCUGAAACAAAAUUAUACGGAAAUCUGGGUAGACUGCGAUUCACCGUCGAAAGAAUUAGAGAAUCAGUAUUCCUUUUCUUUCCAAAAAUGGCUUCUUUUUCUCUUUCUACCAAUCAUUCUCUUCCUUUUCCACUGUAUGCUCAAACCCCAAAACUCUCAUUAUUCCAAAAUCUUUCUCCCCUUUCUAGAUACUCUCGGUCUGAAGCUGUCUCCUUCAUCCUAUCUUCCAAUCCCAGUUUCUUCUCUGGUCAAAAGUUCUAUUGUAGCCAAGUUCCUAUUUUUUAAACGGUGCGGUUCCACCACCGUUUACAUUGAAAGAUCAAGAUGGGAGGAAUAUAAGUCUUUCUAACUUCAAAGGCAUGCCUGUGGUGGUUUAUUUCUACCCUGGUGAUGAAACCGCACGAAACAGGUACAUAUAUAUAGAGCAUCCAAAUUGGCACAAAUUUUUGUACCCUUUUAAUUGGCAAUUCUGAGUUUUCUUUAUUCGAAAUUGAUCAGGCAUCCAUCUACUUUCUUGAUUUUUUUGGAUCAGAAAUACCUCUUAUGUUAGAAAGGAAAGGAAAAAAACUAUUGGGGUAGGAAAUUCAUGAAGCUUGAUAAAACAGAACUUUAGCUUAUUUGACUUUUGGAAAUUUUAUUGUGUUUCGUCAUAGAUAAUAUAUGUUGAACACUGACAGCUGCAUAAGAUUAAGAUUUUGAGAAGAA